rnacentral:rRNA from 1 species
UGGGGAAUAUUGCACAAUGGGCGCAAGCCUGAUGCAGCCAUGCCGCGUGUAUGAAGAAGGCCUUCGGGUUGUAAAGUACUUUCAGCGGGGAGGAAGGGAGUAUAGUUAAUACCUUUGCUCAUUGACGUUACCCGCAGAAGAAGCACCGGCUAACUCCGUGCCAGCAGCCGCGGUAAUACGGAGGGUGCAAGCGUUAAUCGGAAUUACUGGGCGUAAAGCGCACGCAGGCGGUUUGUUAAGUCAGAUGUGAAAUCCCCGGGCUCAACCUGGGAACUGCAUCUGAUACUGGCAAGCUUAAGUCUCGUAGAGGGGGGUAGAAUUCCAGGUGUAGCAGUGGAAUGCGUAGAGAUCUGGAGGAAUACCGGUGGCGAAGGCGGCCCCCUGGACGAAGACUGACGCUCAGGUGCGAAAGCGUGGGGAGCAAACAGG